rnacentral:rRNA from 1 species
GACGAACGCUGGCGGCGUGCCUAAUACAUGCAAGUUGAGCGCUGAAGGUUGGUACUUGUACCAACUGGAUGAGCAGCGAACGGGUGAGUAACGCGUGGGGAAUCUGCCUUUGAGCGGGGGACAACAUUUGGAAACGAAUGCUAAUACCGCAUAAAAACUUUAAACACAAGUUUUAAGUUUGAAAGAUGCAAUUGCAUCACUCAAAGAUGAUCCCGCGUUGUAUUAGCUAGUUGGUGAGGUAAAGGCUCACCAAGGCGAUGAUACAUAGCCGACCUGAGAGGGUGAUCGGCCACAUUGGGAAUGGGACACGGCCCAAAGUCCUACGGGAGGCAGCAGUAGGGAAUCUUCGGCAAUGGACGAAAGGCUGACCGAGCAACGCCGCGUGAGUGAAGAAGGGUUUCGGAUCGUAAAACUCUGUUGGUAGAGAAGAACGUUGGUGAGAGUGGAAAGCUCAUCAAGUGACGGUAACUACACAGAAAGGGACGGCUAACUACGUG